GAAUGAUAUCUGGUCUGGUGGAAGGGGCAGCAUCAAAUAUAGGAUUUCGAAAGACACUCAGUUGCCUAAUAAACUGAACAGCUUAGCCUGUUUUUCUAUUAUUUUAGAUUGGACUGUUAUCACCUCGUGUAACAUAACCUGGUAUGCUGUUCGAUACAUUUUCAACACCGUGUAUGAGCUCUUCAUAAUACGAAUAGCGCGUAUAUAUGAUCAGGAAUGUAAAGUACAAGAGAUAUUAUUAUGGCCCACGAAAAUAAAGAAAUUAUUAAUGUCACAUCCCAAAUAGAUGUUGAUUCGAUGGAGAUUCAAGAUUCACAGUAGACCCGUAUUGCUGCGCUGCAGAUAUCAGUGCGGCGUUUAUACGAGGAGCUGGCUGCGCUACCCGUGUGAAGCUGGCCCCAUCUAUAUGAAAAACUCGUAAUUUUCUUUUUGCAUACGUUUGCUUAUCGUUUGCUCACGUUUGCUCAAGUGAAAUUUUCGUUUGCCCCUAUUUAGUUCAAAAGAUAUACGCGGUUCAAAUUAGGUGGGUCCAGCUUCACACUUUGCAAAAUUUUCAAUCGCGUGUAGCUUUUGAACUGAAGAGGGGAAACGAAAAUUCCACUUGAGCAAACGUGAGCAAACGAUGGCGAAACAGAAUCAAAAAGAAAAAUUUGAGUUUUUCAUAUAGGUGGGGCCAGCUUCACACGGGCGGCUGCGC